UAUUAAUGUGUUGUUGAAACAUACUCCGUAACUCUUUACCCACAAGAAAAAAAAACACACAAACUCCAAAUAAAAUCCCAUUUACCACCCACGAUCCUCUAUAUGCGGUUCAUUUUCAUCUCCCUAAAAAUUUCUCCCCAAAGCUAAACUAAUAUUUUCAUUCCAAUUCCCUAUUCCAAAAUUUACAAGUUCUCUUCAAUCCGAAAUCGUCGAUCGAGUUCCCUUCGAAAUUGGUCGAGUUAAUUUGUGAUUUUGCCAGCGUCAUCUCCGACAUACCUAUACAACGACGACGAAAUUCAGUUGCGGAGGAUUUGGAUUACUUCUUCUUCUUGUUAAGUUGCUCUGAAAUUGCUGUGCAUUAUUAAUUGUGAUUUUUGAGAUUCUGAUUCCCCUUGACAUUGUCAGGUGGUGGCGGUGGAGUUAAUAGUGUUUCGAAGCCGAAACCCACGGUGUCUUCUGUGGCGCGUUCUUUACUUCAGGCGAAACACCGUCUUCGGCUUGAUCCUGCGAACAAUUUCUACUUUCCUUGUAAGUUUCUUUCUCCUUCCUGCUGAUUUCAAGCUUUAUUUGAAUUUUUUUUUGUUGAUUUGGAAUUUUAAUUUGUUUAAGGUAUAAGUUAGCUUAUGAAUGUUGAAUUAAGUUGAUAUUUUCAAAUUCUGUUUGGCAUAUAUAAGGAUGAAUGUUGUUAAUUUUGGUGUUGUGUGUAAAACUAGUUGAGUAAAGGAAUAAUUGAACUUGAAAGGACAUUUUGUUCUGUUUGAAUGAUGCAUUAGCUAGGAUUGGUGUUUAGGAAAUAUCCAUAUACAAUUCGAGGUUUUGAUUUCAUGGUUUCUUAAGUUAAUGACUUAAGGUGUAUUGCCUAUUGAGGUUGGGACAGGAGAGUUAACCCCCAUGUGUUCUAGAUGAAUUUCUUGUUGGAGUUUCACCUAUAUGUUUUGGCUUUAGUUUCGGUGUACUGUAUUAGGCUGGUGAUUUUGUUUUGAGACCAGGAUUAGUUGUAAUUACCGCGACAAAGCUUGCAAUAUUGGUUUCUCUGUUAAGUAGUGAAUGAGUUGCCCAUCUUAAUUGUGUUUCUAAUUUUCUAUAACGUAAUUUACAUCUAUAGCACGAUAAACCAUUCUUUUAAAGAGAAGUUGGUUAUCAUAUCGUGCCUUAGUAAUUUUGUUGCACUGUAUCAGUCUGAUUAAUAUCGGGGAUGGAACAUUAAAAUGGAGAAACAAAAUCCAGUUUAUACUUUAUAGUUCUAUAUAGGGUCCAAAAGCCGUGUCUACAAGUUAACUUGUGCUUUAGUUGUUGAGUUUUUUGUGCCUUUAACAUUAUUAAGUAUCUAUGCAAGGUAUAUUGGCUUUACUAUAAUCUUCUGAAGGAUGGAACAAUAACUGUUCUGGUGUGAGUCUUAUGUCUUCUUCUGAUUCCCAACCAGCUUAAUGUUCUAUGGAUACAUAUCUCUGAGUGUUGCUAAUUGGUACUCUUAUGUAUGAUGAUGAUGUAUCCCUAGCAAGAAAGGUAUGUCCUGCUGCUUAUUUUGUAUUUUCAUCAGACUAACGAUCCAACUGACACUGUUGGGAAAGUAAAAUCCAUCAGCUCUAAUGAUAAGUCUAGUUUUCCUUUGAAGGAACAUCCUUCGACGAAAAGGAGGUGAUUUCCUGAAUUAGCUAUUUAGUUUAUCAUUUCACAUUUUUCCUGAUGCAUAUGAUAGUUUAUGAUGUUUUCUUAUUAGAUUAUAAGUUGGUUGGCAGAUAAUAGAAAUAUUUCUUUCUUGAUUUAAGUAAAAUGUUAUGAAGUACUACCUCCGUUCCUAAAUGAUCUUUACGGUUACUAUUUGCACGGUAAUUAAGGAAUUUUGGUGAACAUGUGAUGGUGGGGUAACAAAUGGAAAAUGAGUGGCUAUAAAUUGUCCACCAAUGUGAGUGAGUGGAAACUAAUAUUAAAGUAUUGUGAGUGGGUAAGUUAUGGUGGGCCAAAUAAGAGUAAAAAUGGAAUAAAGUAGAAGUUUAAAGAACUUUCAGGAACGGACUAAAACGGAAAGCGUAAAGAACUUUUAGGAACGGAGGUAGUAUAUGUGUUGGGGUUUCAUUUAGAAUUGAUUGAACUUUGGUAAUUAACUGGUUGGUUGAUUAUUGUUUUAGAUCUUGGCUUUAAAAUGUUUGUCACUAUUUGCAUUCACUGUUUGGUAAAUCAAGUAACAACUUUACUCGAAAGAGCAAUCUAACUAAUGUUUACAUAUGCAACUGAGUUACCAAGGAUAAAUCAAAUUGCAAGGGUAAUCAUCUGAUCGUGUAUUAGGUGGCAUAAUUUGGGUUCGAGGGAGUGAUUUUUGCGGUAAUCAACUCUGGUUUGAUAGGCCUGGACCUUCGUAGAAAUGUAAUGAAAGUUUGUCUGCUCUAUUUUAUUUGUUUGGAUUCUAAACUGGCAGUACAUGCCAUUUCACAUUAAUUGGUCUUAUUGGUUUUGUAGUGCUCUUGGCAAAAAUUGGCAUUGGUUUUGGAUAUUAUGACUCUGGAUUCAUGAAAGGAGAUCAACGACCACAAGUGCACAAGCAUACAUAUAUUCAAGAAGAAGUGGGGAACUUAGUCCGUGAUCUUGACAUGUUUCUUUUGUGUUUUGUAUUUAUUUUUUUCUCAAUCUACAAGAAUGGAUGUAAUACAUGGUUAAAAGCUAUGAGAUGCUUAUUUGAUUCAAUUGAGAAAUGAAAGGGCUUUGUUGUUCAUAUUAAA